CAGGAACUCUCGAGAGCUCUAUACUCAAUGACUGUCCAGGCGUUUAGUCAGAAUGUAGUCUCCAUUUCCAUUCCUGCAGGAAAAGUCAAUGAUGUGUCAGGAAACCAAAAUUCGGCAUCCAAUACUCUUGAAGUAAAACACUCUAAGAAUAAUACAUAUUCCUGUUGUGAUGUUUCAGGAUUUUUACUUUAUGCUAAAAGCUGCAUCUUUGGAAAUUUACCAAUUGCUGUUUAACUACUUAAGACUCGGUUUAUAUAGAUUCAACUCCUACUAUCAACUGCACUACACUCAUUUCUGACUGCGGGAACAUUAGUAACAUCAUUGACGGCAGUUAUUCUUUCUCUUUCCUCUACAAAUGUUGGAGCGAUGGGCAUCCUGUUCUCAGAAAGUACAAUUUUUAUGGCUUCUGACACAUCAAUGAAUCUACAUGGAAUGGUUGGACACCUCAAGUUUUUGUCCCCUCAGACUGGCUCUUAACGAACCAACCCAUUGAAUAUUCUGAGACAACAAAAGGUCUGAGGUGGUUUAUACCUCGUCAAGAGCUUCCUUGGAGAAUGGCUCAACUCCAACUGAAGCAAAAACUCUUGGAUUAUUAAUGCUAGGUCUACUCUUCCUCACUUUUGUUGCUCAACUUACAAAUGACAAAUGAGUGGUAUGCUAUAAUAAAAAGCAUUCUAAGACCUGCUCGGCCCCAAAAAAUUCUUUCAGGCUUGGAAUGAAGUUUGUUCUUAAGGGCCUUGUGCUGCCUUUCCUCCCAAGGAAGUAUUGUUCAAGAGUCAUCCGUUGUUCCUCCAAACCAAUAACAGGUCUAGCUUCAGUCCCUCCUCAAAGUACCGAAACUGAAUAUGUUAGAAGAAAUACUAGAGGACCCAGUACCGACCCCUUUAGUGCCAUGACUGCAACAGUAGUCCUUGUGCUCAGUCCUGGCUCACCGGGCCUUAAUGUUAGUCAAACAACUGGUUUCACACCUGGGGACACAAGCAUUAUGCAGCAAAGAAUUGCAGAAGGUAAGCGGGCAAAGGGACUGAAAAUAGAGCCCAAGAAUGAGAUGAAGAAGCUAAGGGAGUUUGCUAGUUUCUGUGGAGAUUCUACAGGCGAGGGAGCUAGUACUAGCUAUGCUUUUAGGCUGCAAUCUCACUCUCCUGAAACCUCCUUAGGUAACCCUGAAGCGUCCACUUCUAAAUUCAGAAGAUAGUGUUUUAAACGACAAGGCUACGGAAAAGGGUGUUGACAUUCGACUUCGCCAAGCAGUUAACGUCAUUUUUGUUUCUCGUAGACUUGUAGCAUGACUUUGUACAAUUAACUACAAUGUUUUAAGCGAAUUAUGUGCAUUUGUAAGACCUCUAAGAUAAAUUUUCUGUUUAAAUUCUCAUUUCCAA